GCUUGUAACAAAGAGAUCAUUAAAUGCAAGAUGGCUGGGUGACCAUACCUCCUGAAUGCUGUCUAAUUGUUGGUGCCUCCCACAUGAACAUCUAGAAAUGAAGUGGACAGUAGAAGAGAGCCACAUCUCUGCCAACCUUGAAGAUGGAGGAAACGAACAGCUAAUGUCUCAACUGGACACAUCAUGAAAUGAAGUUCUACUCUUUUUCUUCUAGGUGGGAUUGAAAGAGGAGGAAAGAAAAAAGGUCUUUAUAAAGAAGAUACUGGCUUUAUGUCUUGUUUUACUUAUGAAGGAGCAGAAGUUUCAAUUAAUCAAAGAAUGCCUGGACUACAGACCCUUUUGGGGACUUAUAACUUAGGUAACUUCAGUCUUUAGAAACAGCAUGAGUCCACAAGGAUACCACACUAUAAGAGAAGCUUGUCAUCAUUCAACAUGUUAUUGAAAUUUAAGGCUUUUUGGAAUGAAAUUGUGGCCAGAACUUCUUUACUGUGCCUGAUGUCUUCUGUUAAGGCUGAAGUGGGAAGAUCAGAGAUCCAAAGCUUGUUCAACCUACAGAGUUAGUUCAAGACCAAGGUAGAAAACAUAUAAAUAGAUUGCCACAUAUGCAAGAAAUAAAAUAUUGAGAAUAAUGUG